AUAAACAAGGAUCCGCCUUUCCUAUUUUUCUUCAGCUUCUUUCUUACAUACCUGUGUUUCAACACUCGGAUUAUCUCUCCGGCAACGUCUUCCUGGUGGUGGAAGUGGUGAACACUGAAGGCCAAGUAACAAGUUAGCAAAAUGGGACCUGGUGGACCGGGAGGAGGGCCGGGAGGACCUGGUGGACCGGGAGGAUGGGGAGGAGGACCUGGUGGUUGGGGUCCUGGCCCCGGAGGACCUGGCGGAUUUGGGCCUGGAGGUCCUGGUUGGGGUCCGGGACCUGGAGGUCCUGGUUGGGGUCCGGGACCUGGAGGUCCCUGGGGCCCUGGAUUUGGAGGUCCUGGUUUUUGGCCUGGUGGGUUCUUUGGCGGCUUUGCAGAUGGUUUGUGCAAUAUGAUAUCUUCCUGGUAAGCAAUCAAAUCUUUACUCAAUUCCGGUAUAGUUAAAUGCGGUUUGAUUGAGGUUAAAUUUGAUUGGGAUUGCAGCUUCUACUGU
rnacentral:lncRNA from 1 species